GCCGGGCGGGGGUGCUAUACAUGCAAGUCGAACGCGUUGGCCCAAUUGAUUGAUGGUGCUUGCACCUGAUUGAUUUUGGUCGCCAACGAGUGGCGGACGGGUGAGUAACACGUAGGUAACCUGCCCAGAAGCGGGGGACAACAUUUGGAAACAGAUGCUAAUACCGCAUAACAGCGUUGUUCGCAUGAACAACGCUUAAAAGAUGGCUUCUCGCUAUCACUUCUGGAUGGACCUGCGGUGCAUUAGCUUGUUGGUGGGGUAACGGCCUACCAAGGCGAUGAUGCAUAGCCGAGUUGAGAGACUGAUCGGCCACAAUGGGACUGAGACACGGCCCAUACUCCUACGGGAGGCAGCAGUAGGGAAUCUUCCACAAUGGGCGCAAGCCUGAUGGAGCAACACCGCGUGAGUGAAGAAGGGUUUCGGCUCGUAAAGCUCUGUUGUUAAAGAAGAACACGUAUGAGAGUAACUGUUCAUACGUUGACGGUAUUUAACCAGAAAGUCACGGCUAACUACGUGCCAGCAGCCGCGGUAAUACGUAGGUGGCAAGCGUUAUCCGGAUUUAUUGGGCGUAAAGAGAGUGCAGGCGGUUUUCUAAGUCUGAUGUGAAAGCCUUCGGCUUAACCGGAGAAGUGCAUCGGAAACUGGAUAACUUGAGUGCAGAAGAGGGUAGUGGAACUCCAUGUGUAGCGGUGGAAUGCGUAGAUAUAUGGAAGAACACCAGUGGCGAAGGCGGCUACCUGGUCUGCAACUGACGCUGAGACUCGAAAGCAUGGGUAGCGAACAGGAUUAGAUACCCUGGUAGUCCAUGCCGUAAACGAUGAGUGCUAGGUGUUGGAGGGUUUCCGCCCUUCAGUGCCGGAGCUAACGCAUUAAGCACUCCGCCUGGGGAGUACGACCGCAAGGUUGAAACUCAAAGGAAUUGACGGGGGCCCGCACAAGCGGUGGAGCAUGUGGUUUAAUUCGAAGCUACGCGAAGAACCUUACCAGGUCUUGACAUCUUGCGCCAACCCUAGAGAUAGGGCGUUUCCUUCGGGAACGCAAUGACAGGUGGUGCAUGGUCGUCGUCAGCUCGUGUCGUGAGAUGUUGGGUUAAGUCCCGCAACGAGCGCAACCCUUGUUACUAGUUGCCAGCAUUAAGUUGGGCACUCUAGUGAGACUGCCGGUGACAAACCGGAGGAAGGUGGGGACGACGUCAGAUCAUCAUGCCCCUUAUGACCUGGGCUACACACGUGCUACAAUGGACGGUACAACGAGUCGCGAACUCGCGAGGGCAAGCAAAUCUCUUAAAACCGUUCUCAGUUCGGACUGCAGGCUGCAACUCGCCUGCACGAAGUCGGAAUCGCUAGUAAUCGCGGAUCAGCAUGCCGCGGUGAAUACGUUCCCGGGCCUUGUACACACCGCCCGUCACACCAUGAGAGUUUGUAACACCCAAAGUCGGUGGGGUAACCUUUUAGGAGCCAGCCGCAUAAGUGACAGU
rnacentral:rRNA from 1 species